AUAGCGACAAACAUUUGUGGACGG
rnacentral:miRNA from 1 species